UGGGGAAUCUUGCGCAAUGGGCGAAAGCCUGACGCAGCGAUGCCGCGUGAGGGAAGAAGGCCUUCGGGUUGUAAACCUCUUUCAGCAGGGACGAAGCUACUCGGGUUAACAGCCCAGAGGGUGACGGUACCUGUAGAAGAAGCCCCGGCUAACUACGUGCCAGCAGCCGCGGUAAUACGUAGGGGGCAAGCGUUGUCCGGAUUACUGGGCGUAAAGAGCGUGUAGGCGGCCAAGCAGGUCUGUUGUGAAAACUGGAGGCUCAACCUCCAGACGUCGACAGAAACCGCUUGGCUAGAGUCCGGAAGAGGAGAGUGGAAUUCCUGGUGUAGCGGUGAAAUGCGCAGAUAUCAGGAAGAACACCAAAUGGCGAAGGCAGCUCUCUGGGACGGUACUGACGCUGAGACGCGAAAGCGUGGGGAGCGAACAGGAUAGAUACCCUGGUAGUCACGCGUAAACGAUGGGUGCUAGGCGUGGGGGGUGUCGGACUCCC
rnacentral:rRNA from 1 species